rnacentral:rRNA from 1 species
CUGAGGGGACUGCGGAGACAUUG